GCUGGGUCCCCUCCGCCCUGGCGCGCUCCUCCACCAGCCCGCGGCUGCGAGCUGGGCAGCGAGAUCCACAGCGCGGGGCUGGCGCGGAAAACACCGUCCUGAAAGCUGAUGCUGCGGGUGCUCUUGGAGCGACUUGUGGCUGUCGCCACUUGGUCCCCACAGACUCAAGAGGACGCUACCACCCGGACCGGACUCAGGCAUCCGGAGCACCGCACUCUUCCGAGAACUGCCUACCUCACGUGCCACCUCCGGGUUUCCUUCGCAAAGUCAGCCAAGAUGUAGAAUUUGGAAGUAGCUCUGAGUUGAGCGGAACCUCAGAAGAUGGAAGCAGCGGCCUCAGCCUCUUAUGGCUUCAAGAGCCACUGCGGGAAGGAGCCAGAGGGCUUCCUCGGGCCCCGGAUUAAAAUAGAUGCCAGCAGCCGCCCUAAGGCCCGGCAGCCAAUCAGCCUGGUGGGUGGGAUUGGGCAAGGGCAGCUGGAGCGGUUGCGAAACAGGAGAUACUUCCAGGCUUACCCUGAUUUUUUUGAGAAGGGCGCUGGUUCCCUCAGACAUUUACAUAGACUUGUCUUUACGUGUUCAGUGGGCAGUGUGUUCACACCAGGAUUGAAGUCGAUAAACUGUGAAGUGACAUGGGAACGUUCAAUGGCCUCACACCUCGGAGUCUCAAUCCUUACUGUUGGUACAUGUGGAUGCCAGAAGACAAACAGAUGUCUUUUCUCAGGAGCUGUCCAUCUUGUUUUCUGACAGUUGUUCUUUGUUAACUAGGGCUCACUGUGUAGGCAAGUCUGGCUGGCCAGCAUCUAUCUCUCUCCACCUCCCAGUACUGGGAUUAUAAGCACCCCCCUCAUACCCUGACUUUUUAUGUGGAUGCUGAGGACUGAAUCAAAUUCUUAUUCUUGUUGGGCAAGCACAUUACCAACUGAACUGAAUCUCCCCGGCCCCUACUGGUACUUCUUAAUGCAUAUUAAUGAACCAACUAAUGGGUUUCACUGUAGAAUAGAUAGAUAGAUAGAUAGAUAGAUAGAUAGAUAGAUAGAUAGAUAGAUAGAUAGAUUAAUUAUACAUAGAAAUCACACACACACACACACACACACACACACACACACUUCCUGCAGUGUUUAUGCUGACCAUCACCUCUCUUUUCCCAACCACCAUUCCCUUACCUUUCCUCCCCUUCCAACCACUAAUAAACCCCUUUCUUCUGUU
ensembl:antisense Gm5106 predicted gene 5106